CCUACGGGAGGCAGCAGUAGGGAAUCUUUCACAAUGGGCGAAAGCCUGAUGGUGCAACGCCGCGUGCAGGAUGAAGGCCUUCGGGUUGUAAACUGCUUGUAUAAGCGAGAAAUAUGAUGGUAACUUAUGAAUAAGGAUCGGCUAACUACGUGCCAGCAGCCGCGGUCAUACGUAGGAUCCGAGCAUUAUCCGGAGUGACUGGGUGUAAAGAGUUGCGUAGGUGGCAUACUAAGUAGCUAGUGAAAUCUGGUGGCUCAACCAUUCAGACUAUUAGCUAAACUGUUAAGCUCGAGACCGGUAGGGGUAACUGGAAUUUCUAGUGUAGGAGUGAAAUCCGUAGAUAUUAGAAGGAACACCAAUAGCGUAGGCAGGUUGCUGGGACGGUUCUGACACUAAGGCACGAAGGCGUAGGGAGCAAACGGGAUUAGAUACCCUAGUAGUC
rnacentral:rRNA from 1 species